UAUUAAAUAUUUUAUAUAUUAAUAUAUUAUAUUUUAUAUAUUAAUAAUAUUUAAAUUUUUAUUUAUUUUA
rnacentral:tRNA from 1 species